rnacentral:rRNA from 1 species
UGGGGAAUUUUGGACAAUGGGCGCAAGCCUGAUCCAGCCAUGCCGCGUGGGUGAAGAAGGCCUUCGGGUUGUAAAGCCCUUUCGGCCGGGAAGAAAACGUGCGGGCGAACAGUCUGCAUGGAUGACGGUACCGGAAGAAGAAGCACCGGCUAACUACGUGCCAGCAGCCGCGGUAAUACGUAGGGUGCGAGCGUUAAUCGGAAUUAUUGGGCGUAAAGCGUGCGCAGGCGGCGCCAUAAGACAGCUGUGAAAUCCCCGGGCGUAACCUGGGAACUGCGGUUGUGACUGUGGUGCUAGAGUACGGCAGAGGGAGGUGGAAUUCCUGGUGUAGCAGUGAAAUGCGUAGAGAUCAGGAGGAACACCCGCGAUGUAGACGGCUUGCUAGACCAUAACUGACGCUGAGGCACGAAAGCGUGGGUAGCAAACA